UACAUGUGGGGCGAGCGUUGUUCGGAAUCACUGGGCAUAAAGGGUGCGUAGGCGGCAUAGUAAGUCGGUGGUGAAAUCCCGCGGCCCAACCGCGGAACUGCCAUUGAUACUGCUGUGCUUGAGUGCGUGAGGGGUGGCUGGAACGAGUGGUGUAGCGGUGAAAUGCGUAGAUAUCACUCGGAACGCCAACGCUGAAGAGAGGCCACUGGCACGCAACUGACGCUGAGGCACGAAAGCGUGGGGAGCAAACAGGAUUAGAUACCCUGGUAGUCCACGCCGUAAACGAUGGGCACUAGGUCGAUGGGGAGCUCUUCCUUGUCGGCCGCAGGAAAUUCAUUAAGUGCCCCGCCUGGGGAGUAUGGUCGCAAGGCUGAA
rnacentral:rRNA from 1 species